CACUGAGGAUCUGAAGUGAAACAGAGUAAUGCAAGAAGUAAAAUAAGAUGGAAACUCCGUAGCUGAAUGGACAUUCCAAAGAUGAGCCACUGCUUUCCCGCAUCUGACAAUGAGUUUUGUGACUGUCUGAGCAAGGGGGCUAGUGAGUCUGUACAUGGAAUGGAGAGAGGGUUGUGCCCCAAAUUUGCUGAAGGAUCUUUUCCAUGGAACAGUGGCAAGUGAGAAAUGUCUUUGUAAGUCAGGUCCUUCCUCCACAUGAAUUUCUUCUUUAUGUUUUUAAGUAGUGAAGGAUGGAGACAGAGCAGUCAUGGACAUUAACUGACAUGCCAAAGGUUUCACAGCAAGUCAGCAAUUAAAUAAAACAUAUUCUGAAUGAUGAUACUGUUUUCUGUCCACAUUAGGCCACAAAUCUUAGCCCAAUGUGCCUGAAUUUGCCUACCAAAAUGUGCUGAAUCCUUCAGUUAAUGUAGCCAUGAUUUCUUUUUCAAUCAUUAUUCCAAGUGAUCCACAAUUCCAAGGGCAGGGUUUUUGUUGUUAGUGAUGUUCUAAGCAGCCACUGUGAUACCCUGUGCUCAUGUUGCUCCUCUGAACAGAAAAUCAACACUGCACCUCAAGCCAUUUUGUGUUCUGUUCUGUUGUAAAUUCAAAGUUCUUCUAUCAGCAUGGUUUUGUUUUGAGUUAAAAAUGAAAGCAAGUAUAGGAUUUCAUUCUUCCCCUGUGAAACAGGCAGUUUCUCUUUCUUUAUUCAUGCUCCCACUUCCUCCAGCACCACCUUGGUCUCUGAGUGCCAGUGUGCAUGUUAACCACAGCUGAAUGUCCUAAUACUUGAGAGAGGGGAAAGAAAGGAAGGUUUUUAUGUUAUUGUUUUAUAAAUGUUAUAUUGUUGUGUAAUUCACCCUGAUGGCUUCAGAAAUUCUCUUGAGUUCCAGCAUUAAAAACUGUUAUAAUUUGCAAUUAUGUCAGCUGUGUAUUUUGCCUGGAAAAUAUUAAUGCCUAAAAUUGUUUUAAUGAGAACUUAAUGUGUAAGCA